AGUUUUUGUUGCUUCAAUAAAAUUGUGCAUAUUAUUUUGAUGUGCUUGAUUUUGGAGUUGGAUGGGGAUUCGGAGGUUUGAUACUCUAAAUCUUCUGUUAGAUAACAAAAAAAUUGAGCAGAGAAAAAUGGGGAAAGACAAGAUUUUGGAUUCAUAUAAUCACGAUUGUUAUUGAUUUUUUAUUUGUUUAGGAGCUGGUUUGUCAAGUGUUUAUUAUUAUUUUUUUUUGUUAUCCAUCUGCAUGUCCUCUGUUGAUUUAUAUAGACUAAAUAUAGAGUAACUUUUAACAAUUCAUAGUAAUGAAAAUGAAGCAAAUAAUAAUUAGUGAUGAGUAACAAGUCUGGAAAUAUAUAGUAGUAACGUAAGUUUGAAGAAGCACUAGCUAGUACCUGGAAAUCUAAUUAACCUGCCAGCCGAUACAAGGUAAUGAUAUGAACAAAAUAGAGUUUUUUUUAAUUCAACGCAGAGCUCCCCGAUUAUAUGGAGUCAUAAUCAAUGAACGAAUAGUUGCAUUCUCCCAUGUUAUUGUAUUUGGUAUGUGUUGAGAAUGGUGUAUCAAAAUAAAUUCAUACCAUUAAUUGACUUGAUUUUUACUUUAAAGUUGGCCUCAUAGUUGUCCCUUUUCCUCAAGCAAUUAUUUGAAUUGGUGAAUUCCAACGGUACCCUUCCCUCCCUCUUCUCUUUUAUGCAACUCGAAAUUUCUGUGAAUACACCCUCGGCAUUGAUGGCGGCGAAGAAGAGAAAGAGAGUUCCGGAGGUUCUUUGGAGGCUGUUUGAAAAUCAGGCGCGAACUCUUGCUGACACCAUCGCGGCCUUGAUCCCUCCUCCGUCGGACACAGCCACCGACAAAGCCAUGUCGUUCCUCGUCAGAUCGGGAGAUCCGUUGGACUACCGCAAGCUCCUAUCCGAAUGUUUUGUGGUUGUCUCCGAAGAUGCCCCUUCCAUUCCCGUCUUCGAUCCUCACCGGCGUUGGUCGCAAUGCGAGAUUGUCAGAAGAUCGAUUGAAAUAAUACUGCAUGAACAACCAUCCUCAUCAAAUCUCAUAUGCUGCAAUUAUGAUAAAGAGAGCCGUUCAAGUCCUGUGGUUGAUGAACUGUCAUCCUCAAAGUGGACUCUCCUCUUGACAAGGGUUGGUGAUGCUGUCAUGAUGUAUCUGUUGAAGUAUACAUCAAUGUUUUGUCCUCUUCCCCAUAAGAAGCAUCAUCAAAUUUCUGGUUGUCCUAUUGACUCUUUGUGUUCCAAGUUCUCCAAAGACAUGCCUAAGUCUAGAGUUUAUCCAUGUGCAUAUGCAGGAUACAAGGCUAAGAGACAACGGGUUGAGGGAGACAGGAAACAAAUAUGUCCAUGCACUUUAGAUCCUGAGCCUUCUUCAAACUCGAUUAGCUUUGCCACAAGUAAUGGGUCUACUUAUGUUUUUGAAGAAGUUCCUCAUAUUCAAAGUAAAGUAAACUCUCGAAAGCGUACACGGGAGUAUCGCUGGCAGCGUCAAAGAAAGCGUAAGCAGUUAGCUGUUUCAGAAACACCUUCUUUGCUCCCAUCUAAAGGAACGCCUUCAAGUUCAAAUCAAAGUGACAUGGAUAACACGGCCAAUUGCUCUUGCUGUUCAGUUUUCCAAAAUCAACCAAUGAUGAAAGGAAAUAUUGAGAUUGAUAGAAAGAACAUAUUCUAUAGGAUAGAGAAUUGUUCAUCAAUAUUGCCAAGGAAGCACAUGUUGCAUACUAUAAAGCCUAAUGAGAUUGGAGCUUCCAUUUUGUUCAAUAAUAUAUUUGAAGCAUUUGGUCCCGACAAAAAUGUUGGGAGCACACCAUGUUGUCGCACCAAAAAUGGUUGUCCUGUCAAUUCCACGUGUUUGUAUCAUUCCCUUACAAAGCUACUAAAAUUUUUUAUACGGGAGAGUCGAAACUGUAGACAUGCAAGGCUGUUGGAGAAACACUGUUCUGUAAGAUCCUCAUACCAAGAUGCUAGUAGGGGAGCUGGCACUGUGCUUGAGGUUGCUAUGGCCAAAAAUUGGACUAUGAUUCAAGAAACCAACACUACUCAGGUUGAACCCAUUAUGUGUUGUCUCAAGAAUCAAGUUGUAUCAUUCGUUUGGGCGAUUUGUAGGAGAAUAGUCCCUUCACAGUUGUUGGGAGAACGAUCUAAUUGGAGAAGUUUGAGGAGAAACAUCUCAAAGUUCAUUCAGUUACGAAGAUUUGAGAAGUUCUCGCUAAAGGAAUGCAUUUAUAAAGUCAAAAUAUCGAAGUUCCCUAUCUUCUCAAAUAAGCAUAACGGAUGUCUUGGUAUUACAGAUACUGCCAGACACGCAAUUUUUGAAUGCUGGAUGAUUUGGUUUUUUGAAAAGAUAGUAUCGCAAUUGCUGCAAGCUAACUUUUACAUUACAGAGAGUGAACACGAGAAGCAGGAAGUUAUAUAUUUUCGAAAGUCUAUUUGGGAACAAUUGAUGAGUGAGAAUGAGUGCUUGAAUCGGUAUCGCCUAUUAAAUCAUGAGUCUGUUAGAGUCGUAUUAUGGCAGAGAUCUUUUGGUUUCUCUAGGGCAAGACUACGUCCCAAGAGUAAGGGAUUCCGAAUGCUGACUAAUCUUCGAGCACCAUCUAGAUUUCCCAUAGACUCACCUCCUAGAACCCACUCCUGUCAAAAGUUAUGGACAAAAGUAUCUUGUAGUCAUAGAGUUGCACAUCGGUUUUUCAAGUCUGUUAACAGUGUACUCAAUGACGUGCAUGUAGUUUUAUCAGGUUUACGGGUAAAUGAACCAAAAAAGUUGGGUUCAUCGGUUUUUGACUACAAUGAUAUUUACAAAAAACUUGUUCCCUUCUUGUUACAUCUGAAAAACGGGACACCUAGCAUGCCAAAUGUAUUCAUGGUAGUGUCAGAUGUGUCGAAAGCUUUUGACUCAGUUGAUCAUAAAAAAUUGCUCAGUGUGAUGGAGGAUGUCAUAUGUGAUGAUGAAUAUACUUUGGAAAAGUUCACCCAAGUUGUUUGCACAAGUAAGUGUUUGAAGGUCGAUCCUCAUGUGAUGUUAGCACAUCAAGAUAUUCGUAUUGCAUCUACAAGAAUCAGAUCACGAAUUCGGGUCCAGUCGUUUCAUAGUAUUCUUGUUAAGAAGGAAGUGAGCAGGAAAAUAAGAAAGGAAGAAAUUCAUUCACUUUUGAAGGAGCACAUUAUGGGCAAUGUGGUGCAACUAAGGAAUAGGUUUUAUCAGCAACUAGUUGGUAUACCUCAAGGAAGUAUUUUGUCAUCUUUACUGUGUUCAUAUUAUUAUGGGCACAUGGAAAUGAUUGAAAUUUUUCCAUUUCUUAAGAAAGCUAUCUUGUUGGAAAAACAACCUUCUUCCGACAGUACUUCAGCUUCAGAAGGCAACCACAAAACUAAAAUAGUUGUACCUGGUUGUGAAUCUCUUCUACUUAGAUUCAUGGAUGAUUACAUUUUUAUAUCAGCUUCAAAGUAUCAGGCCUCUCAGUUCUUCACCCGAUUGGAAAGAGGAGUUCAUGCUUACAACUGCUACAUGAAUAAGGAGAAAUAUGGUCUAAAUUUUGUCAUGGACAAUCAACAAGGCAACCUGUCAAACAGGCUACAUAUGGGCAAAGAUAAUAUCUCAUUUCUUCCUUGGAGUGGCCUGCUUGUCAACUGCUCCACAUUAGAAAUUCAAGCUGACUAUACAAGGUACCUAAAUUAUCAUCUGAGUUCAACUCUAACAGUAUGCCGUAAAGGCAAUUUGGGAAAACACUUGAAGGCAAAGUUGAGAAGUUAUCUUAGGCCAAAAUGUCAUCCUAUAUUCUAUGAUUCCAACAUCAAUUCCCCAGGGGUGGUUAGACUCAACAUCUAUCAAGCCUUUCUCCUCUGUGCCAUGAAAUUCAUUUGCCACCUCUCCAACUUGUCAAUUCUGCCAAGAUUUCACCCCAAAUUCCUUCUCAAAGCUAUAGAGACUUCUCUGAGGUACAUGAACAGGUUGAUCAGGAGGAGAAUAUAUUCCUUUAAAGGUGCUGAUUUUCGUCCUAAAUACGAUGUGAAAAGGAAGGAUGUUAUCUGGCUGGGGUUAUAUGCUUACAGACGGGUGUUGCUGAAGAAGCAUUCGCGAUACAAGACUCUGCUUCGUCUCUUCAGCUCCAAAUUGAAGCCUUAUGGUGAGGUGGAAAAUAUGCCAUCUGAGUUGAAGUAUGCUGUUGAUGAUGUGCAUUCUUCCGUGCUUUGGAGCAUCAAAUAUUGAUUUGUGAGAUUGAAGAUUAGCACCAGACCUGUUCUCUAGUAUGUAUGUAAUGUUUUUGGCCUACUUAUUCAAGUUUAUCCAUUUUAGGAACCUUUUACAAAUUUAUGUUCAAUAGGUGCCAAAGAUAAAUAUAAAAGGCCUACAAACUCAACUUUGCUACCUGUUAUGAAUCUGUAUUUUCUUAAAAGGCCUCUUUUUUCGCAGAGUCUUCAGAGAGGAAAUCUGCCUCCAUUGAAGAUUUUUCAUCCCUGGACUUAAAAACGCCUUGAUUUACUUUCCUACUGGAGAGUUGGCUUCUCAAACAGAGAAAGUGAUAUUGGCAAUUGGUGACUAUAUAAAUGUAAAAGGUCAUGCUUGUGUUGGAGGCAAGAGUGUGGGCGAGGAUAUAAGAAAACUAGAGCAUGGAGUUCAGGUGGUGUAAGGUACUCAUGGUAGAGAUUGUGACAUGAUCAACUGCAUUUUUAAAUUUAAUCUAUAAUGGGGGUAUGAAAUUAAAAACUCUGGCUAGGAAAAACACCUAAUAAUCCUAUGUAUUUGAAUACAUGAAUUUAUGAUUUGAAUAAAUGAUCUGUUAUCAUUCUCAAGUAUGCAUUUGUCUCUAUAAAAUUGGUUCUUGUCUGAUGUAGCUGUACAAACUGGUGCAAUAUUUUAUCUGAACUCUAGAUGGUUUGGUUUCUCGAGGCACCUUUAGUUAAGUUAUUAAGCAUCUGGAAUAUAUUGAGGAUGGUGGUGUGGAGGUGGCGCCUUCCAAAUAGUAAAGCAUUUUGCAGUGGGUUGAAGGAUUUGAAUCUUGAAUUUGAUGCCACAUUAAAUCCCUCCUUGUUCCAACAGAUAAUUUGUUUUCCAUACAAUUUCUAAAAUGUUUACUAAAACGAGUUAUAUGUGUCUUUGAGCAAAGAAGAACUUUUUGAAUCAUCUAUUGGAUAACUUUGAGAGCAGAGUCGAAAAGCAUUAUAUUGAAACUGUAACAGUUCCUCCACUCACUGCAUCGACAAGCGGCCCAAAGAUGUCUAUGUUUGCAAAAAGACCUGGAUUUGUUAUUCCAAAAACAAGCUAUCAGGUUCAUUGGUAUAGAGGCUCUAAAAAGAGAGAUGCUGACUCGAUCAGUGAGGAAGCUACUAAGCAGGUGCAGAGGAAAACCAAAUGGGGACUUGAUCUAACUAUGGAUACCACUGUUCGGAAAGGAAGAGCCUUGGCAUAUCAGAUGCGGAUUGAUCAAAUAUCUCAAAUACUGACUUUUGGGGUGCUGGAACUUGAGGAUAGUGAAGAUUUAUUUGCUACAUUGGAAUCUCACCAUUGGAAGACAUCAGAUCAUCAGCUUAGCCGUGAGGAAUUGGAACAGCUGGAACUUGAAUAGCGUGAAAUUAUAGGUGAAAUACUAAAACUAAAUCCAUCAUUCAAGCCUCCUACUGAUUAAAAACCUCUGCUGAAAGAGGCGAAAGUUACAAUUCCU